rnacentral:tRNA from 1 species
AAAGAUUUAAGUUAUAGACUAAAAGCCUUCAAAGCUUAAAGAAAGAAUUAAAUUUCUUAAUCUUUGAU